rnacentral:lncRNA from 1 species
AUGAUCUUUAUGGACUUCUUCCAUGCUCAGGAUCAGUGCAUCCUGAGGAAUAGGAAAUCAGGGAAGGGGGGCAGGAAACCCACAUGGAUGAGCAAGGAGCUCAUCAAUAAGAUCAAAAGGAAGAGGAUGGUCUAUGAAAUGUGGAAAAAGGGCCUGUCCUCUUGGGAGGAGUAUAGAUGUGUUGUCAGGGCCUGCAGGGACGCGACGAGGAAGGCUAAAGCCCACCUAGAGAUGAGGCUUGCUAAAGAGAUAAAGGAUAAUAAGAAGAGUUUUUUCAAGUAUGUAAACAGCAAGAGGAAGACUAGGGAUAAUGUGGGUCCCUUGCUGAAUAAAGGGGGUGUCCUGGUCACGGGAGACACUGAGAAUGCAGAGAUAUUGAAUGCUUUCUUUGCUUCAGUCUUUGCUUCAAGGACACUCCUCCAGGACUCCUUGCCCCUAGCAAUAGGACAAAGGGUCUGGGAAAUGGAGGGCUCCCCCCUGGUGGACGUGGGAGUGGUUCGGGAGCGUCUGAGUGGGCUCAACGCAUACAAAUCCGUGGGUCCCGAUGGGAUGCAUCCGCAUGUGCUAAGGGAGCUGGCAGAUGCGAUCGCCGAACCACUCUCUAUCAUCCUUGAAAGGUCCUGGAGAACGGGUGAGGUGCCUGAAGACUGGAGGACAGCCAAUGUCACUCCGGUCUUCAAGAAGGGCAGGAAGGAGGAUCUGGGAAACUACAGGCCAGUCAGUCUUACCUCUGUCCCUGGAAAGGUAUUGGAGCAGCUUGUUCUGGAUGCUGUCUCCAAGCAACUGGAAGAGAAGAAGGUUAUGAGGAGUAGUCAUCAUGGAUUCACCAAGGGGAAGUUGUGCUCGACCAACCUCGUUGCCUUCUAUGAUGGCAUCACCAGCUGGGUAGAUGGUGGGAGAGCGGUGGAUGUCACCUACCUUGACUUUAGCAAGACUUUCAAUACUGUCUCCCAUGACAUCCUACUAGCAAAGCUGAGAAAGUGUGGGAUAGAUGAGUGGACGGCAAGGUGGGUUGAGAACUGGCUGACUGACUGA